rnacentral:rRNA from 1 species
CCAAUAGCGUAUAUUAAAGUUGUUGCAGUUAAAAAGCUCGUAGUUGAAUUUCGGGAUCAAGAAAUCGGUCAUGCCUCGGUAUGUACUGGUUUUAUUGGUUCUCACCUUCUAAAGAACCGUAAUGCCAUUAAUUUGGUGUUACGGGGAAUUAGGACUGUUACCUUGAAAAAAUUAGAGUGUUUAAAGCAGGCUCACGCUUGAAUACAUUAGCAUGGAAUAAUGAAAUAGGACAUCCGAUUCUAUUUUGUUGGUUUCUAGGAUCGAUGUAAUGAUUAAUAGG